GACGAACGCUGGCGGCGUGCCUAAUACAUGCAAGUUGAGCGAUGAAGCUUGGUGCUUGCACCAAUUUGAAGAGCAGCGAACGGGUGAGUAACGCGUGGGGAAUCUGCCUUUGAGCGGGGGACAACAUUUGGAAACGAAUGCUAAUACCGCAUAACAACUUUAAACAUAAGUUUUAAGUUUGAAAGAUGCAAUUGCAUCACUUAAUGAUGAUUCCGCGUUGUAUUAGCUAGUUGGUGAGGUAAAGGCUCACCAAGGCGAUGAUACAUAGCCGACCUGAGAGGGUGAUCGGCCACAUUGGGACUGAGACACGGCCCAAACUCCUACGGGGAGCAGCAGUAGGGAAGCUUCGGCAAUGGACGAAAGUCUGACCGAGCAACGCCGCGUGAGUGAAGAAGGUUGUCGGAUCGUAAAACUCGGUUGGUAGAGAAGAACGUUGGUGAGAGUGGAAAGCUCAUCAAGUGACGGUAACUACACAGAAAGGGACGGCUAACUACGUG
rnacentral:rRNA from 1 species